CGGCCGCGUCGACCGUUGAGAUGUGUCGGAACACCAAUGGCGAAAGCAGCUUUCUGGACGAAUAUUGACGCUCAUGCACGAAAGCCAAGGUAGCAAACAGGAUUAGAUACCCUGGUAGUCUUGGCCAUAAAUAUGUUCACUAGGUGUCGGGGGGUAACCUUCGGUGCCGCAGCUAACGCAUUAAGUGAACCGCCUGGGGACUACGGCCGCAAGGUUGAAACUCAAAGGAAUUGCGGGGGCCCGCACAAGCGGUGGAGCAUAUGGCUUAAUUCGAUGCAACGCGAAGAACCUUACCAGGGCUUGACAUGGAUCUGCAAGCCGCCGAAAAGCGGUCGCUUUCGAAGGUGAUUCACAGGUGGUGCAUGGCUGUCGUCAGCUCUUGUUGUGAAAUGUUGGGUUAAGUCCCGCAACGAGCGCAACCCUCGUGUUUAGUUGCCAUCAUUAAGUUGGGCACUCUAAACAGACUGCCGGUGACAAACCGGAGGAAGGUGGGGAUGACGUCAAGUCAG
rnacentral:rRNA from 1 species